UAGGUAUCUCAGUAACGAAGAAGACGCAUACAUGGCAGGCAUGGUACAGAGCGCUUCCUUGCACAGCCUUGCCCAUGAGCUCGUCCCUGGCCUGGAGGGACCCACUCUAGAGGUGAUUUCUCCUAUCUGCAAACUAACCAGUUUCCUGCCAUGAGGAACUGUCAUGAAGAGGAAUCAAAUAAUAAUAAAAAAAAAUUAGUAGUGCAUUCUUUUCUAUCCAUGUGCUGUAUAAGUUCAAAGACUUCUAAUAAAUGUAGGCAAUUGGAAGAAUCAGGGUGUUGUUGUUGUUGUUGUUGUUGUUGUUGUUGCUGUCCACAUCAUCGUCUUGGCUCUUUGGCUUGAAGAGGCUUCAAUAUGCUGGUGUAUUUAAUAUGAAAAAGAUAAAGCAGAUGUCAAUAGGGCUUACCAUUGGGAACAUCUACUUCAGACUUGGUGUCCCAAUGGCCAGGUGACUCAGGAAACGGCAAACCAUAUAAAGUUGUUAGUGACAGAUGCCGCUUGAAAUAUUUUUCUAACUCGAAAGCUUGUCAGGCGGUAAAUCUACAGAGCAGAGUGUUCAAGAUGCAGGUCGGCCCUCCUUUGGCUUUGUGAGUACAGUACAUCACCAAGAGUCAGAGGGACCAUCGUGAGUCUUUUAGCGGAGAGAUCAGUGUGGUCUAGUUGUGCUAAGAAUUACUGUGCGCUAAGCUGUGUUAAGAACAUGCCUUGGCUAAACUCUGUCCUCCAAGACCAGGUGUGUUAGAAAAUACUGUCUUUGUACUCAGCAAGUCCUGUUCCCUCCUUUCUCAAAUAAAAAGAAGAAAACAAAAAGAAAACCGAUGACCUGCUCUGGUUUCCCAUUGCCAGCAGGACCUUCUCAUUCCCCCUCCUUAAUAACCUCGUAGGGCUUUCCGUUGCCUCGGGAGUCUACACUUCUUAGUAUGGCUCUCAAGGGCUUUAGCAAUCUGAUCUUAAUAUUUCCACCGCUCCUUCCUUGACUUGUAGGCUGGCAGUUUCUGCCAUCCUCGGUGACCAGUUUCUACAUGACUGUACAGGGGGCAUACCUCAGUGCCUUUGCUUCUGUUGUAUCUUGUUUGUCCUGGAAUGUCCUGCACCAACUGCUGCACCUGUAGAAUUCUUAUUGCUCCACCAAAGGCCAAUACAAAUAGCAUCUGCCAUGGAAAGCCUUCUGCAACCCCCACCCUCUUUGUUAAACUAUUAACUGCAGCUUCUCUGCUCCCACAGUACAUUAUUAAGGUGGCAGUACAGAAAGUAUAUUGUAAAUCGUUGUUGUUUAUGUAGCUUUGUCCUAGAUAUGGUUUAAUUAUCUUUCUAUCCCUUAGGCUUAGCAGAAUGAUUGGUAUGUACUAUGUGUUCAUUUAAUAUCUGUGUAUUUUAAAUAAGUGUGUGUGUGUCUGUGUGUGUGUGUACAGACACAAUAUUAUGACCUCCCGUUCUUCUUGCAAAUUUGAGGCUAGGGAAGAAUAAUGAUCUUUUCAUUAUUAACAGCUGAAAGGAAGAACAGAUAUUUAAUAUUUGAAAUUGUAUUGUGAGAUUCGUACUAUAUUAUUUUGGAAACCAAUACUGCAACUCAAAGGGCUUCUUGAUGUCUGGCAACUUACCAUAUGUAUCUCGAGUCUCAGUUUUAGCACUGCUUGCUUUAAAGUUUUGGUUUCUUUUCUUAAUAUUUAAGUCAGAAUCUCAUCCAGAAGGCUUAAAAGUACUUAUUUUUAGUCUAAGAUGAAAAACAUGUUACUUUUCUGAGUGACCUCUUAAGCACCAUUUGUUUGCAUUAUCAAUACAAGAUUUUAUAAACCAGAUGAUCAACUCUAUAGAGUAAAAAGUAAAGAGUCAUUUUCACUUACCUUUGGCAUCUAUUUAAAGGCAGAGGAGAAAACAUAUCUUUGAGAGCAAAGCAUUGGCCAUUCUUUCCACCCAUGGAGAGAGUACAUUCUAUCAAGGAAAAUAUCCUACGUUUGUCUGAUCUAUGGAGGGAAAAGCGAUCCUAAUGUGUUAAACAAUUUGGGAAGUGGAUGUCUUGAUAAUCCUAGAUUAUUCACUGAGUCUUAAGGUAAAUUCCAGAAGUAAAUGGCAUUUAUUUGUUCAAAGUGCAAACACGUGACAUGGCUAUGUUUUUCUGGCCUGGAAUGUAAGUAUGUUUCCUUAGCUUCGCAGGGACCACUGAUUUCACAACGCUGGCCCUCUUCAGAAGUAGCUGCACACAACCAUGCUUUCCGUCUGCUCUUCCUUGGAAUCCUCUGCCUUUUCAGCUUUCUGAGCAGCUUCCUCACUUCUUUUGUUUGUAACUCUUUCUGGAGUCCAAACAAGAGGAGCCAAAUCAUCCCCUGCAGUAUCAAUUGCUUGAGUGGAAACCUUGCUUUGUAAAUGAGAGGGUGAGAUGUGACCCAAUAACAGAGUCUAUUUUUAUUUUAAUUUUAAUUUAUUUCCUGGUGGCCCUUUAUGCCUCCUUAGGCGAUGACCUAACCAAUUCUAUCUUAACACUGAUUUUUUGUUUCUUCCAAGGUCAAAAAGCACGUUGGAAUCAUUAUGACAGGAGAGUAAAUGUUUUCUUGCCUCUAAUGGAAAGUCCAUCUCUUCAUAUGAAAUGUAAAGUCUGGUUUUCGCAGCUUUACGAAGCGCAGCUUUUCUCUCGUGAGGCUUCUAUUAGCAAGCUAACAGAGAACAGGGGGAAGAAAGAUCUUUGAUUUUUGAUGGAAACACCAUCUCUUGUAAUCUCUUUCAUCCCUCUCCUUUCUCAGAUGGGAGUCUUUAAUAACGCAGCCAAAGGAACUGUCUUCAUUUUGUGCUGCAGUUUCACAUAGCAAAGUGCAAUCAAAAGUCAAAACUGUCCUAGAAGGCGCUCAACCUGUGGUUUUCCAGGUUGGAAAAGGGAAAGCUGUUACACCAUCACACGUAGACAUGUGUCCCCAUACUACCGCC